GACCGGGUUCUGAAACAGCCCGGGGCUUUCAGCACAGAUGAGAAGUCUAAAAAUUUCCCUUUUCAUUUCCUCUCUUGUGUGACUUUGUCAUUUUUAAAAAAACUGGUCACAGAAAAGGGAAUUUUGCCCAUGCUUUUAAGGAGUUUAUCUCGACUGAGUAGCUUCCCCGCCACUCCUCUAAAAUCCCUCCUCAAAAACCCCAAGUUAAAAAAAAAAAAGAUCUAUUCUUGUAGAUUUUUUUUGUGUGGGUCUAUGUUUCAUUCAUCUGCUUUCAGGCUGGAUUUAUAACAAGCAGAACUUUUAAAACGGUAUGAUUUUAAAAUAAAAUUAAAAAAAAAACACGCUGAGAUCUUUCCAUAGCUUUGGCUUCUGGGAGUUGAAAGCGCAGCUUCAGGAAAAAGAGGACCUUAGAACUGAAGGAGCAAGAUUCCAACAUCACACUGUUUUUGUUAGCUGUGUGUGUGUGUUUCCUGUGUAUCCAAAAGACAGAGGAGAUGAAAAAGCAAAAGAAAAGAAACGAGGAAUCAGAUUGGAAAGAAGGUUUCUCCAGGACGUCACCUGUAUGAGGUACACAGUGUGAUGACACACUCUGUGCUUUUCCUACUUGUGUCCACGUGAGUGUCUGGAGCUGCCCUUCAAGGAGAGCAAUAGAUGAAUGAUUCUGCCUUCCCGCUGAGAGGGAUGUGGGUCCUGCGGAUGGUCGGGGUGAAGCUUCCUCUCCUUUCUGCUGACAGCACUUCCUCAUUAAAUGCAGAGAUCUGCAAAAAGGGAAAAUAAAAACACAAGAAGAAAAAUGAGGCAUCAAA
ensembl:lncRNA LNCATV lncRNA negative regulator of antiviral signaling